GUUGAGUCAUCGAAUCUUUGAACGCACCUUGCGCUCCUUGGUAUUCCGAGGAGCAUGCCUGUUUGAGUGUCAUUAAUAUAUCAACCUCCUCAGGUUCUUGACUUGUCGAGUGUUUGGAUGUGGGGGUCUUUUGCUAGUCUCUUUUGAGGUCGGCUCCCCUAAAGUGCAUUAGCGGAACAAUUUGUUGACCCGUUCAUUGGUGUGAUAACUAUCUACGCUUUUGACGUGAAACAGGUUCAGCUUCUAACAGUCCAUUGACUUUGACAAACUUUCAUUAAUGUGACCUCAAACCAGGUAGGACUACCCGCUGAACUUAAGCAUAUCAAUAAGCGGAGG
rnacentral:rRNA from 1 species